GGUUGCGAUCAUACCAGCACUAAUGCACUUGAUCUCAUUAGAACUCUGCAGUGAAGCGUGCUUAGGCGAGAGUAGUACUAGGAAGGGUGACCUCCUGGGAAGUCCUCGUGUUGCGCCCC
rfam:Vitis vinifera, whole genome shotgun sequence of line PN40024, unoriented chromosome 17, chr17